GGUUUGAUUCCACUUAAUAGCCACAUGUCUUUGGGCAAGUUGUUUGACCUCUAAGUGAAACAGCCUCAUUGUCUGGAGUCACACCCGAGGUUCAUUUUCUCAUGGCCACGGAGAACAAUAAUGAGGACACAUAAAGAUUGAGGUUGAGAGCGGAAGUUUAAUAUGCAAAAGAAAGAGAAGAGUUCUCUGCUGCAGAGAGGGGUCUCAGAAAAAUGGGUUGCCGGAUCCGCGGUGAAAUGCAGGAGGUUUUAUAGAUGAGCUGGUGGGGAGGCGGCGUCUGAUCUACAUAGGCAAGAAAGGGCAAGAAAGACUGGUUAGACCAGUUGUGCUAUUUGCAUAGGGCACGAAUCUCUGGUAUCCCCCAUCCUAACCUUUUUUUAUUAUCCAGGCGCGUCUCUGCCUGAGGUGCACCAUGUUGCCCAUUUCUUUAUUACUGUACACGUGAUAACAAAAAAAGAGAAGAUGGAGCCUCCAUGUUGGACAUGGCCGCCCCCAGAAUACCAGAGUGGACUACAAAGACCCUGAGGGAGUGUGUCCUAACAGUUGGGCCUAAUGGUGAAAUUUUACAGCCUUGCCUUGCACAGUCCCUCUCACAGCCACACUAUCUCCUAUCUCCACUCCAGCAACAUUUAUUGACACGGGGGUUACAGAGAUGAACCUGACCCUCAUAAACUCAAACUCCAGUGGAAGCAGAGAGACCUGUCCCUAAAAAAAUUUACACCAGGUGCUGUGAUGAAACUAUGCUGAGUGCAUAGAUGGCCACAAGGGAGAAGGAUGCUUCUCUUCCUGGGGGAGUCAGGAAAUGACUUACAGAUGGAGCCCCGGGGGGGCCGUGGCUGGCCUGGAGCUGGGGUGGCAGAGUCUCUCUCCUGGUUUUGCUCUCACAGAGCGUGACAUCUCCCUGGAGCAAGGUGGGACCACUGCUGAGCUCACAUCAGUCACUGUACUUCCUAGGAAGUUUUCUGAUACAACGUCAUUUCCUGUAAGUUGGGAUUUUUGCACACAGGACAAAACAAAGAUGACAGCUCAUCUCUCUUGACCCUGGUAUUGCACUUUUUACAAAUUGAAGGUUUGUGGCAACCCUGCAUUGAGCAAGUCUAUCUGUUCCAUUUUUCCAACAGCGUGUAUUCACUUCCUGUCUCUGUGUUACAUUUUGGUAAUUCUUGUAAUAUUUCAAAUUUUUCAUAAUGAUAUGUAUUAUGACGAUCUUUGAUGUUACUAUUGCAAUUUUUUUGGGGUGCCACAAACCACACCCAUAUAAUAUGGCAAACGAAAUCCAUCAAUAUUGUGUGUUCUGACUUCUCCACCAAAUGUGUUACCGAGUGGCCAUUCCCUCAUCUCUCUCCCUCUCCUCGGGCCUCCCUGUUCCCUGAGGCACAACAAUUUUGAAAUUAGGCCAAUAAAUACGCCUACAAUGGCCUCUAAGAGUUCAAAUGAAAGGAAAAGCACACAUCUCUCUCUUUAAAUCAAAAGCAAGAAACGAUUAAGCUUACUGAGGAAGGCAUGUCAAAAACCAACAUAGGCUAAAAGCCAGGCCUCUUGUGCUAAACAGCCAUGUUGUGAAAGCAAAAACAAUGUGAAAUGCAAAAGAAGAAAAUGUAAAAUGCUACUCCAGUCAACACACAAAUAAUAAGAAAGUGAAACAACCUUAUUGCUGAUAUAGCUAAGGUUUGAGUGGUGUAGAUAGAAGAUCAAACCAGCCAUGACAUUCCCUUAAGACAAAGCCUAAUCCAGAGGAAGCCCCUAACUCUCUUCAAUUCUAUGAAGGCUCAGAGAGGUGAGGAAGCUACAGAAGAAAAGUUAGAAGCCAGCAGAAGUUGCUUCAAGAGGUUUAAGGAAAGAGGGCAUCACCAUAGCAUGAAAGUGCAAGAUGAAUCCCAAGCGCUGAUGGAGAAGCUGCAGCAACUUAUCCACAAGAUCUAGCUAAGAUAAUUGAUGAAGGUGGGUACACUCAACAGUAGAUUUUAAAUGUAGACAAAACAGCCUUCUGUUGGAAGAAGAUGCCAUCUAGGUCUUUCAUAGCUAGAGAGAAGUCAAGGCCUGGCUUCAAAGCUUCGAAGAACAAGCCGACUCUCUUGUUAGGGGCUAAGGCAGCUGGUGACUUUAAGUUGAAGCUAGUGUUCAUUUACCUUUCUGAAAAUCCCAGGGCUCCUAAGAAUUAUGCUAAGUCUACUCUUCCCACACCCCCUAAAUGAAACAACAAAGCCUGGAUGACAGUAUAUCUCUUUUUCUUUCUUUCUUUCUUUUCUUUUUUUUUUUGAGACAGAGUCUUGCUCUGUUGCCCAGGCUGUAGUGCAGUAGUGCAAUUUCAGCUCACUGCAACCUCUGCCUCCUGAGUUCCAGCAAUUCUCCUGCCUCAGUCUCCCAAGUAGCUGGGAUUACAGGUGCCUGCCACCACGCCUGGCUAAUUUUUAUAUUUUUAGUAGAGAUAGGGCUUCACCAUGUUGGUCAGGCUGGUCUCAAACUCCUGAUCUCAAGUGAUCCGCCUUCCUCGGCCUCCCAAAGUGCUAGGAUUACAGGUGUGAGCCACCAUGCCCGGCCAACAGUAUAUAUCUUUAUAGCAUGGUUUACUGAAUAUUUUAACCCCAUUGUUGAGAUCUACUGCUCAGAAAUAAAAAUUCCUUUCAAAAUAUUACUGCUCAUUGACAGUGCACCUGCUCACCCAAGAGCUCCGAUGGAGACGUACAAGGAGAUUCAUGUUGUUCUCAUGCCUGCUGACACAACAUCCAUUCUUCAGCCCAUGGGUCAAGGAGUCAUUUUGACUUUCAAGUCUUAUUAUUUAAGAAAUACAUUUUGUAAGGUUAGAGCUGCAAUAAUGAUUCCCCUCACAGCUCUGAGCAAAUACACUGAAAACCUUCUGGAAAAGACUCACCAUCCUAUAUGCCAUUAAGGACACUGGUGAUUCAUGGAAGGAGGUCAAAAUAUCAACAUUAACAGAAGUUCAGAAGAAGUUGAUUCUCUGGAACCUCAAAGAUGAACCCCUCAAAGUUCAUCCUCAAAGUUGAACCCCUCAAAGUUAAUCCUCAUGGAUAAAGUUGGACACCUCAAAAUUCAUCCUCAUGGAUGACUUUGAGGGGUUCAAGACUUCAGUGGAGGAAGGAACAUCAGAUGGGAUGGAAAUAGCACAAGAACUCGAAUUAGAAGUGGAGGCUGAAGAUGUGACUGAAUUGCUAAAAUCUCAUGAACAAACUUGAAUGGAUGAGGAGCUGCUUCUAUGGAUGAGCAAAGAAAGUGGUUUCUUGAGAUGGAAUCAACUCUUGCUGAAGAUGCUGUGAACAUUGUUGAAAUGACAACAAAUUAUUUCAAAUAUUACAUGAACUUACUUGAUAAAGCAGCGGCAGGGUUUGAGAGGAUUGACUCCAAUUUUGAAACAAGUUCUACUGUGGUGGGUAAAAUGCUAUCAAACAGUAUCCUGUGUUGCAGAAAAAUACUUCAUGAAAGACAGAGUCAAUCAAUGAGGCAAAUUUCAUUGUUGUCUUAUUUUAAGAAAUUGCCACAGUCAUUCCAACCUUCAGCAACCACCUCCCUAAUCAAUCAGUAGUUAUCAACAUUGAGGCAAGACCCUCCACCAGCAAAAAGAUUACAACUUGCUGAAGGCUCAGAUAAUCAUUAGCAUUACCAACCCAAAUGUCCAUCAAUGAUAGACUGGAUAAAGAAAAUGUGCCACAUAUAUGCCAUGGAAUACUAUGCAGCCAUAAAGAAGAAUGAGAUCAUGUCCUUUGCAGGGACAUGGAUGAAGCUGGAAACCAUCAUUCUCAGCAAACUAACACAGGAACAGAAAACCAAACACUGCAUGUUCUCACUCAUAAGUGGGAGUUUAACAAUAAGAACACAUGGACAUGGGGCGGGGAACAUCACACACUGGGGCCUGUAGAGGGGUGGAGGGCAAGGGGAGGGAGAGCAUUAGGACAAAUACCUAAUGCAUGAGGGGCUUAAAACCUAGAUGAUGGGUUGGUAGGUGCAGCAAACCACCACGGCACAUGUGUACCUAUGUAACAAAUCUGCACGUUCUGCACAUGUGUCCCAGAGCUUAAAGUAAAAAAAGAAAAGAAACCAGUAGUUGCCCCUACUGUCUGUUCUUCCUUUUUCCUUACUAGAAAAAUCUACACGUUUUUAUUGGGCACAAGGCCUACUCAGAAGAAAAUAUAUAUUUCUACACCAGCAUUGUAGCUAAGUGCAAUCGCAGUGGUGAAGUCCUAUGCAAUAUGUAAAUGUUGUGAGAAGAUAUUUAAAUGGAGUGGACAUGCCCAUUUCCUCUUCUCUCUUUCUCCUGGCUAUAAAGUAGAUGUGAUGGCUGGAGCUAGAGUGACCAUCUGGAACCACCUGGUGAACUUGAGCUUGAGACUCUAACACUGCAGAGUGUCAUACCAACUGUGAUGACCUACUCAGACUUCUAAGUAAGACAGCAAUAAACUUCAUUCUGAUUUAACCCACUGUUACUUUGAGCUUUUUCUAUUACAGUCAAGUCUAAUCCUAACCGAUAUAUGCUCCCUUCAACUUUUCCUCAGGCACUGGGAGAAAAGACAGAGCACAAAAGAUGCAACCUCAAACUGAAUUUCUAAGAGGAAGACGAGUCUCAGGGCAAUGGGAA
rnacentral:lncRNA from 10 species